AACAGGCACAUGGAUCCACGGGUGUUCACUUGUUCAGGUGUCAAACAUUCGCGCAACUGUAUCCGACCCUUAGCAAAAGUCACGAAAUUAGAGCACUAUCCAUGGAAUGCACACGCUCACACAUACACGUAGAGGAAGCUUCCACACUUAAUCCACCCUGACUUGACCUGCAGGACUGCCAAUCCCCCCCUAGCCUAGUGCCCCGCCUUCACUUCACCGCACACCUUGACCAACCCACAUCUUCCAAUUCCCUUGUCGUCCCCUGGCUCCCGACUCUCCUCGUUUGCUACAGCUCUGCAGGAAAGUAGGUAUUGUCAUCCAUGAUCAUUAGGGAGCUAAAGGGAAAACAUUCAGAUUACCUAUGGAAGCGUAUGCCGGCCAGUAACAUCAUGCGUAGGGUAGACUUAUGGGAUGAUGGGGAGGGGGAAGAGGAGGAAACUUGAGGACCAUUCCGUUACAUGCUGCCGCUAGCUAACAGCACGGUAACAACAGUCUGUCUCAAUCUUCGUGUUACAGAGUGCCGAUUGAGUUACAGAGUGUCCUCAAGCCCAACCAACACCGUACUUGCGCGGCAAAUUUGUGAGAUUUGCGUUCGAUAAGAUUUUAACACACAUUCACCUCAGGUUCCUGGACCAGCAAUUGUCCGAUAGUUAUAAUGAGAGAGUAAGACCAUCCUAUGGUUCUUAGCGCAUUUGCAAUCGGCUGCACAUCCUCCUAUCCAACGUUUAAAAUGGACUAUGAUCGCCUCCGGACCGUUGCUUGUACCCGAGCAUAGCAGCCAUGCUUUUCGUGGAUUGCAAAGGCAUUGUGCAGCCAUCAAAGAAACUGGCUGGAUGGUUGGGCAGAUCAACGCGACACUGCAUGGCUGCAGCAUAGCAGCACCAGCAACAGCAGCGCCAGCACACACCGCUUAUUCCAGUUAGCUUGUGACACGAGCACAUACAUGCGCACACACGUGCACAUACAGACAGACGCACAACCGCACCCCAGAGUUCAAUCUCUUACACUGCCCCCUCCGUCAGUCCAACAGCUUGCUUUCCCCUCCCGGAAUAUAACUGUUACAACUACCCUACUCCUGAAGCUUUCUCCAAGUAACAGCAGCUGCUCUCAGUCACACAAGGAAAACCAACAAACCAAACAAGUAUGUUAGGAGGGAUGCCAUCGCCUACGUCUUUGUGUGCAUGUGCGCGCAUGUAUGCAUGUGUGUUUAAAUAAUCUCAGCCGCGAUGUCUCUGUAUGUAUGUAUGUAUGUGUGUAUAACUUGGACCCUCCCGACAACACGCACAAGUAAGCAAUACUCUCCCCAUACCAUGAUGAAAUGGUACGAAAAUGAUCUCUCGUACAUACGUACACAUUCCCCGGGUAAGCGGGGCGAGGGGGCGGGUGAGCGGGGGCCCCAAAAGGAAGGGGACUUUCCUUUACCAUUUCCCCCUUAUUCGGCGUGAAUCCUCAUCACCUCGCCGUUUUAAUGCACUCCUGCUCACGCCCCCCUCCUGCCUCCCCCACAUCAAUAUGCCCUACCGGCCCCUCCGCAAUACACACCGUAUACCACCACCACGUCGUCGUCCAAACUACCUAACCUAACCAAACACGCUUCCUUGUCAUAAACACAUCAAACACAUGACGCAAUACUCGACUCCAUACCAUUUCCCCUCCUCCCCCCCACAUCCCCCCGACAUUUACC
rnacentral:lncRNA from 1 species